CCUACGGGUGGCAGCAGUGAGGAAUAUUGGUCAAUGGCCGCGAGCCUGAACCAGCCAAGUAGCGUGAAGGAUGACUGCCCUACGGGUUGUAAACUUCUUUUAUAACGGAAUAAAGUGCGGCACGUGUGCCUUUUUGUAUGUACUUUAUGAAUAAGGAUCGGCUAACUCCGUUCCAGCCGCCGCGGUAAUACGGAGGAUCCGAGCGUUAUCCGGAAUGACUGGGGGUAAAGGGUGCGUAGGUGGUUUGAUAAGUUGGGGGCGUAACGCCGAGGCUCAACCUCGGCACUGCUACUAAAACUGUCGGACUGGAGUGCAGGAGGGGCAAGCGGAAUGCCUAGUGUAGCGGUGGAAUGCUUAGAUAUUAGGAGGAACACCAGUGGCGAAGGCGAGUUGCUGGACUGUAACUGACACUGAGGCACGAAAGCGUGGGGAGCAAACAGGAUUAGAUACCCUAGUAGUC
rnacentral:rRNA from 1 species